rnacentral:lncRNA from 1 species
CAAAAUCACAGGAAAUCACAAUCUGCAAGAUAUUUGAAAAUGAAAACAGGAAACAGGUAUAUGCAAAUUAGCUUCUGGGCGUUUGGGGAGAGUUCACCAUUAUUACUAACUCUGGCAUUUGUGAUAUUGCUUCUGCCUUCCCCCAAAAUCAGGAUAUCUAUAAUUUCUCCCAUUGCUUCCUUUAGCACAUUGGGACUAUCAGUUCCUGGCACUUGAAGUCUGUAUGUAAUUCAGAUUAUGGAUUAGAGGAGAAUAAGUCAUCUUAAUUUUCAAUAUUUCUUGAAUCUUUGAGUAUCUAAGAUUAAAAAGAAACAGACAACGUGUGGAAGCUAAGCUUUAAGAGACACAGGAAGAUGCUAUUCAGUAAUGAUAUCCAAGUCCAGAUAUCAGGUCCAAAGAGGAAGAUUGAAAAAAGAAACAAGUGGGCUCAUCUCCUGUGUCCCUGGGAUAACCACCUGUGGAUAAGUCUUGUCACUACUAGAGACAAGAUUUAUCAGAUCCCAAUUCAAGCAGCAGCUUCUCAAAGAGACAGAGUCCAGCAGAAAGGCCACUUAGAGACUGCAGUUUCCCUUUCUCUUUCUCUGGAGGGUUAACAAGGCAGAGUCUCUUUCCAGGCUGUCACUGCACAUCAUCUACAAUGAGAGCCUAGAAUAUGAGCAUCCACCAACACAGCAAGGAUGAUGGUAUCACUUGGGUCUGCUGAGCCAGUCAAGAAUAGGUACAACUUCAGAUAUUGCCUAUAACAAGGCUGAAAGAGCAGCCUGGAUGGGAAAUAGUUGGAGUAAUAUUAGCUUCUGACUGUUUAAGAGAUGUCAAGACUUGACCAUGGACUAAAGACUAAUAUUCUGGGAUGUACAGCACCUGCACAGUUGACACCAGCUCUGAAAUGCACAGCAGAUACAAAUCAGAGUCAAAACUAUUUUCCAGUAUUCACUUUGCUCUUCCAGCCUCUGUUAGAUGCUCCAGGCUUGAAAAUAAACCAUAGCUUCAGCAAACGAAUUCA